rnacentral:snRNA from 1 species
CGAUGUAAGAGUGAUUUGGUUGAAACAUGUUACCAUAGGGUUGAUUUGACUAGUAGAGUGUCCCCUUCAGAAGGACACUCACAGCUCCAUUGUGUCCCUCCUAAACUUUCAUGCUUAGUCAAAGAGGAACCUUCCUUGUUGAAGGCCAUAAUUCUUUUGCCCAGGGUAUCCAAGUAACUGGGUUCCCUUUAUUGAAACGACAGGCAUGCUCUCAAGUCUAAAAAAGAAUGAAUUCCUUUUCUUGAACCUGUUUAUACUGUUAUUAUCUACUAUAAGUUAUCUAAAUGGUCAAAAACUUUCAAAACAACAAAUUAGGACACAGUUAUUGCUGCUAAGUUUUAUUUU